rnacentral:rRNA from 1 species
UACCAGCACCCCGAGUGGUCGGGACGAUUAUUGGGCGUAAAGGGCUCGUAGGCGGCCAACUAAGUCAGACGUGAAAUCCCUCGGCUUAACCGGGGAACUGCGUCUGAUACUGGAUGGCUUGAGUUUGGGAGAGGGAUGCGGAAUUCCAGGUGUAGCGGUGAAAUGCGUAGAUAUCGUGAGGAAGACCAGUGGCGAAGGCGGGUCUCUGGACAGUUCCUGACACUGAGGCACGAAGGCCAGGGGAGCAAACGGG